rnacentral:lncRNA from 1 species
CCUGGAGCCGGGCUCAAGUGCACUAGGAAAUUGACUGUACCUGCCAUUGUUAAGAACACAGAAAGUGGCAGGUCCUCUUGGCAGCUCUGCCAAGUCUUCUUAUUCUCUCCAGCCUGAUGUCCUGAACCUCCAGCCUGAUCUCCUGAACCAUGGUAAGGAUGCUGUGAGAAGACGGAUGUCUAAACCAAGAAGCAAGAAAUGGACCCUCAUCAGAACAGAGUCUGCUGGCCCCUUGAUCUUGGACUUCCAGCCUUCAGAAGUGUGAGAGAUAACUGUUAGUUGUUCAUAAGCCACCCAGUUUAUGGUACUUCGUUAUGACAGCUUGCAAUGACUGGCAGCUGCCUUCCCUUUUCCUCCCCUUACUUCAUACUUAGCUUGACGAAGUUGGGUGUGGCAAAUAAUUUGGGAGUGGGGAUUUUUAUCUUGAACUUCCCUGACCCUCCAAGUCCCAUUAUGGUAACUGAGCAGAAGGCUACCCAGUCUCCUUUUUUGGAAUAUCUACUUUAAGAUUUCAUUUGUGAAGACUGAAAAGAGUGAGCUGCAGAUUUCAUUUUGCUGUUAUUUUAGUAGUGAAUCCUAAAUAUAAAAGGAUUAUUCUGAAACAAGUUUACAUGAAUUUUGUAAAGAAAAAAAUACAACAGAUCUAUUGUCAAGAAAGAUAUAAUUAAGUGAUGCAAAUGCAAUUGACGAAUUUGAAAUUAAUUAAUUUGACCUGGCUUACAAUAAUACAAAGAGUUACAAUGCCCCAAAAAAUUCCGUUAUGUUUUCUUCAUAGUCACAUGUAACUUUAAAUGCUCUUCACAGAAUGACAAGAUAGAAAAAUUGAAGUUAUAGCAGAGAUGCCAAGAUGCAGUAGGUAGAAAAUUCCAAAGUAAGUGGUCAGACAGUGUAGAUUACACAAGGAAAUUAAUAAAAACUCUGUACAGUGCUACACUUUUCCUGCUUUCAGGACAUAAAGGGUCAAGGGAGGAUAUGAUGGGUUUUCCUUUACCAAUAGCUAUCACUGUGCUUUCAGACUCAGCCCCUGGGGGUAGUGGGUGGAGGAGCUUCCUUCUUUUCCCAAGAGAGGUUGUAAGGCUGAGUUUCUAGUGGUCAGUGUCAGGGCAAGUGGCCAGAACCUGACUCACAGGGAAAGGUGGAAUAGGAAGGUGGCCCCAAUUAGCCUGCACUCCCAGUUAAUCUGAGUGAGCAAUGCUUCCUACACUCAGGCAUGGCCAUGCCAGAGCAAGAGAGCUGGGCCUGACCUCCUUUGAGUCUUGCCCAAGAAGGCUCCCGCCAGAGUGUGAGAGAAAUACAAUGGCAAGGAGGAUCCGUGGGACCUCAUAUUGUUGUUUUGCCAUGAACAUGCACCUUUCCUCAGCUGCCAGGGCCUGAUUGCUCUACGGGGAAGGGAAGGACGCCCCUAUUCCUGUGACCAUCCUUCCUCCUAGGUUCCUCUGCCCAGCCCCAUCAGAGGCUGUCUUCAAGUUCCAAGGGGGUUGGGAGGAAGGUUACUGUCACACUGGUGCAGGGUUGAUUUAAUGUUAAAUUCAGUUCAGAAUGGUGAUGAAAAUCCUAGACUGCAUAUUCUAAUUUCCAAACUCAGAUUGCAUUUGUAACUUAAAUAGAAGAUCUGUUGCUUAAGAACUAAUCUGGUAUUGAACCAGCCAGCCACAGUACUGUCACAGAGAUUGCCUACUGCCUGUGUUCAUUCUGACUGGCCAGUGUGUAUACCUGCUUAACAGUGAGCAAAAAUGUCAUGAGCCUGUCAGGAUUUUCUUCACAUACAGGUAGAGAUUACAAUACUAUAAGGAAAAACCUUUUAAAAUAUUGAAUAAAAUGUGAGAUUUCAAGCUUUUUAGACCAACUUAAUGUACUUCAAACUUGUUUGCAUGCUCUUUUGUAUUUUUUUAUCUGCUCUUUAAUCUAUGCUAUCGGUGUCACCAUUUGGAUUUCAA